UACAGAGGGGGCAAGCGUUGUUCGGAAUUACUGGGCGUAAAGGGCGCGUAGGCGGCCUGCUAAGUCGAACGUGAAAUCCCUGGGCUCAACCCAGGAACUGCGUCCGAUACUGGUUGGCUUGAAUCCGGGAGAGGGAUGUGGAAUUCCAGGUGUAGCGGUGAAAUGCGUAGAUAUCUGGAGGAACACCGGUGGCGAAGGCGACGUCCUGGACCGGCAUUGACGCUGAGGCGCGAAAGCCAGGGGAGCAAACGGG
rnacentral:rRNA from 1 species